GCCUUCGUGGUGUAAGUGCCAGCACACUUGGCUCGUAUUCGAGAUGUCGGAGGUUCGAUUCCCGGCGAGGGCA
rnacentral:tRNA from 1 species